GAUGAACGCGGCGGCGUGCCUAACACAUGCAAGUCGAACGAAGGUAUGUAUAGGAAGUCUUCGGAUGGAAUAUGUAUAACUUAGUGGCGGACGGGUGAGUAACGCGUAAGUAAUCAACCUGUGACACACGGAUAACUGAUAGAAAUGUCAGCUAAUACGAGAUGAACUGUUUAAAUUGGGAAAUGGAAACAGCAAAGCGAAAGCGGUCACAGACGAGCUUGUGUCUGAUUAGCUAGUUGGUGGGGUAAGAGCCUACCAAGGCGACGAUCAGUAGCCGGCCUGAGAGGGUGAACGGCCACAUUGGAACUGAGACACGGUCCAAACUCCUACGGAGGCAGCAGUGGGGGAUAUUGCACAAUGGGGGGAACCCUGAUGCAGCAACGCCGCGUGAGUGAAGAAGGCCCUAGGGUCGUAAAGCUCUGUCGUAUGGGAAGAAACAAAUGACUUACCAUACAAGAA
rnacentral:rRNA from 1 species